AGUGAUCCGGUGGUUCCGCAUGGAAGGGCCAUCGCUCAACGGAUAAAAGCUACCCCGGGGAUAACAGGCUUAUCUCCCCCAAGAGUCCACAUCGACGGGGAGGUUUGGCACCUCGAUGUCGGCUCAUCGCAUCCUGGGGCUGUAGUCGGUCCCAAGGGUUGGGCUGUUCGCCCAUUAAAGCGGUACGCGAGCUGGGUUCAGAACGUCGUGAGACAGUUCGGUCCCUAUCCGUCGUGGGCGUAGGAAAUUUGAGAGGAGCUGUCCUUAGUACGAGAGGACCGGGAUGGACGCACCGCUGGUGUACCAGUUGUUCUGCCAAGGGCAUAGCUGGGUAGCUAUGUGCGGAAGGGAUAAGUGCUGAAAGCAUCUAAGCAUGAAGCCCCCCUCAAGAUGAGAUUUCCCAUAGCGUAAGCUAGUAAGAUCCCUGAAAGAUGAUCAGGUUGAUAGGUUCGAGGUGGAAGCAUGGUGACAUGUGGAGCUGACGAAUACUAAUAGAUCGAGGACUUAACCAUAUAA
rnacentral:rRNA from 1 species